CUAAUUCUCAUAUUCAGGCAAGUAUAAAUUAAUGCAUAGACUUCCAUAAUAUAACUGUCACAGGUCUGCUACUGUGAGGAGCAUGACGCAGAGACGCAGAGUCCAAUUCAAUCAUACAGUUUUUAAUAAUAUCCAGGGAAAUAGGAAAACACACGUAGCAAGGGUUGACAUUAACAAUUCCAGACAAGGGAGAACAGAACGGGCUAGAACUUAAAUAGGGCAGAUAACAAGGGGCAGACAGGCGAUGAGGAUAACUAAAUGACAAGGAACACCAGGAACAAAUUGGAAACAAUUAGGACAGGAACGGGAAGGACCAAAUAAGGGCAUGGAAAUACAGGGAAAACAAAACAAAAACAGAACAUAAACAUGACAAUAAUAAUAUUGUUGUAUUUUUACCUAUUCUUCAAUGCGUAAUAUUCAGGUGUUUCUGAAUAGGGUAAGAGCUAAACACUGCAGGAAACACUGCAUCACCAUAAUUUACUCUCUAUCAUGUUGUUCCAAACCCCUUUUGACUUUUCUGCUGUUGUUUAAAAAAAAAAAAAAAACACUGGUUUGGAUGACUUGACAUGGUGCUUCAGUGUUAAUUUCGUUAACGAAGACUAUGAUGAAAAAUUUUUGUUGAGAGCUUUUUUCCCAUGACUAAGACAAGACGAAGACUAGACGACAACAAGGUCGAUAAACAAUAACUAAGACUAUAUCAACAUGAAAUUUAGUUGACGAAAUAAGACGAGACUAAAAUGUAUUCAAAAAGAUCAAAACUUUACCAAAAACCUCUUUUUAUUUUCUUCAAGAAAGGAGACAAAAUGUUAUUGCAGACUGCUCUACAGGCCUCUACUACGCAGCGUUCAUGAGUGUGGUUGCCAGAUAUUAGAUAAGAGUUCUAAUUCCUGAAUUCCUAAAUUGAUACAUUUUCUUUCAUGUGUGUUUUGCUUAUUUUAAGCAAUCUGGCGACCAUGCGCACGCGCUCACUCCUCAUUGUGGAGCUGCCGCUGAUGAUCUGAAAAAGAAACAAGCUGGAGUUAAGUGACCUAAAUGAAGUCAUUCUAACUAUAUUGUUUGCAAUUGUGAUUGCUAAAUAAAUACACUCACUCAGUCGAUGUUGUUUUGAUAUAGAAAUAGACUAUUGCAAUUUUGGAAUUUGGAAUUUUAAAUUUGGAAUUAUUAGGAAUUUCACUGUUAUAAUAUUUU
ensembl:lncRNA